GUUCAGACAGGUAGAGGAGGCGGUACCGUCAGAGGAAGUGAAGUCAGCAAGGGAGGACCAAUACCAGUGUCAGCUGCAGAAGAACACCCUAAGAAUUGGUCCUCUACGCAGAGGAUGUUGGGUGUUGUGGCCACAUGUGUGCGGAAGAUGCCGUCCAGCCACGUCCUGUGCUACAGAGUGGCUCGGCAGAAACACCCCUU